GAAAGAUGUGUGUGUGAUGUGUGAUGAUGUGUGUGUGUGUGCUGGAUGAUGUGUGUGCUGAAUGAUGUGUGUGUGUGUGCUCUGGAUGACAUGUGUGUGUGUGCGCUGGAUGAUGUGUGUGUGUGUGCGCUGGAUGAUGUGUGUGUGUGCUGGAUGAUGUGUUUGUGUGUGUGCUGGAUGAUAUGUGUGUGAUGUGUGUGUGUGUUAGGGGGGGAAGCAUUUUUUUUCCAA